CAUUAAAAUAAAAAAUAAAUAAAUAAAAUCGGAUCACGACAAGAAAGGAUUAGCCCAGCCCCUGCAUAAGGAGGACACACAAAUUAGUGAAGCAUCCCCCAUUUUC